UACGUAGGUGGCAAGCGUUGUCCGGAUUUACUGGGCGUAAAGAGCGCGCAGGCGGUUGAUUAAGUCGAAUGUGAAAGCCCCCGGCUCAACUGGGGAGGGUCAUUCGAUACUGAUCGACUUGAAGGCAGGAGAGAGAAGUGGAAUUCCCGGUGUAGUGGUGAAAUGCGUAGAUAUCGGGAGGAACACCGGUGGCGAAGGCGGCAUCCUGGACCGGCAUUGACGCUGAGGCGCGAAAGCCAGGGGAGCAAACGGG
rnacentral:rRNA from 1 species